GACGAACGCUGGCGGCGUGCCUAAUACAUGCAAGUAGAACGCUGAAGGAGGAGCUUGCUUCUCUGGAUGAGUUGCGAACGGGUGAGUAACGCGUAGGUAACCUGCCUGGUAGCGGGGGGUAACUAUUGGAAACGAUAGCUAAUACCGCAUAAGAGUAGAUGUUGCACGACAUUUGCUUAAAAGGUGCAAUUGCAUCACUACCAGAUGGACCUGCGUUGUAUUAGCUAGUUGGUGGGGUAACGGCUCACCAAGGCGACGAUACAUAGCCGACCUGAGAGGGUGAUCGGCCACACUGGGACUGAGACACGGCCCAGACUCCUACGGGAGGCAGCAGUAGGGAAUCUUCGGCAAUGGACGGAAGUCUGACCGAGCAACGCCGCGUGAGUGAAGAAGGUUUUCGGAUCGUAAAGCUCUGUUGUAAGAGAAGAACGAGUGUGAGAGUGGAAAGUUCACACUGUGACGGUAUCUUACCAGAAAGGGACGGCUAACUACGUG
rnacentral:rRNA from 1 species